CAGCGGGAGCGGCCGCGGGGCCGCCCCGAGCCGGCCCGAGGGACCCGGCCCGCCGAGCGAGGGCUCCCAGCCGCCCGUCUCGUCUCGGUAUUUCUCAUUUCCGUACAUUUUUUUUUAAUCGUUAUUUUUUCAUCUUUACACAAAGAGUGUCCUUCUCACAGAAAAAGCAUCCCACCGCGCUGUCACCGCCGCUGCCCGUCCCUGCUUCUGCGCCCUGGUUUUGCUGCUCCGCAGCCGCUUUUUCUCCCCGGCCCCCCCAGGGGACUGGACUCUGGACCCGGUGCCGCUCUGCCAGCUUUGGGGACAGGUUUGGUCCCGGAGCCGUCUGCUGCUGGAGGAGGCAACACGGGAGCGUGGUCUGGCAGGUGCCUGGGAGGCUGGGAUGUCCCUGCUCUGCCCUGCCGCCUGCCUAAAGCGCGAUCCCCGGCUCCGCAAAGUCCCGGUCGCAGCGGGAGAACAAAGUACGGCCGGGGCGAUCGGCGGGGAAAACGGGCAGGGCAACGUUCUGUUUUGCGUCGGGUUUCACAGAACCGAAAGCCGGUCCUCUUCCCCUGCAGGCGAACGGGUAUAUGACUCAAACACGUCCUUGCUCUCCUACCUGCAUCCCCCUGGUUCUCUUAAUGAAAGGAUACAGCGGCAGUGUCUCGGCAUUUUCAGAUAACCCCUGCUGAAGACUUAGUAAGAGCCUCUGUACUGCAGAAUACCAUUUGCAUUGUGAGGGUACAGUUGUGGUGAAAAGGAGAUUUUGGGCCAUCUGUGUUUCACAGAAGUCCCACGGUGCUAACCUUGCACUGGGUACAGGAGGGAUGGACCAAAGGAGAGUGAAUAGCCUCUGCUCUCUAGGUUUUCCCGAAUACAAGAUGCUAAAUUUCUACACCACGAACUAGGACAGCAGUUACUGGGGAACCAGCUCCGGGGCCCAUAACCUAUAGGCUGCUGGGGGGAUCAAAUUCCAUCACAGCAGCCUCCAGGGAGGUCUCAGAAAAAGCUGAUUUCCUUAGCCAGUUCUUGCAAAAGCUGCACCAUUCUGCACACCUUUUGAUGGCAAUACAGGCUGCUAAAAACCCUGUGCCAGUCACGCAGCCGAUUUUCCCUUACUCCAGUGCACUCUGUGAUUUUCCGUAUCCGAGCUGAUUUGGAACGUGAGUAGGUUUUUAGAAGAAAACCAGAUAGAGACAGGACAUGCACAGCUAAUUGAUGACAUAUCUCCACUGAACAGCCUCGUUUAAACUCGAAGGAUGAAGUCCGUGCUGCCACCUACGUCUUCUGAUUCAGAUUUCUUGUGUACUGCAACUUUGAUUCGUAGGCAUCCUUUGCAGGAGGCGGCUCACAUUUUGUGAGGCUCCACGAGGGACCACAAACAGGCGGCUCUGGCUGCACUAGGGAGUGAAGCAAAAGGUUUCUCACCGGCUCAGCCACUUGUUUGGUUGCAGUGAGGAUGCCUAGAUGCAGAUUAGGAGCCAGCAGUCACAUCAGUGAAACCUUUAUUGAUUUCAGUGUCUGCUGAUGCAGUUUGUAACGCAGUCAAGCCUAACCCCUUAUAAACCCCACUGUGAAGACAUUUACCCAAACCUAACUAAGGCCAAAAUCACUCUGGCUACAGGAGAAGCCCUGUUUUCAUUGUUUGGCUGCUAGAGGGAAGAUGAUGUUUUAUGGACUCAGGACCAAGAUGGGUCAUGGACAAAGAGGAGAUUUUGCAGGGAUUAGGAAGAUUUUAUGAUUAAACAUUAAAAUUAAAAAAACCAAAGUUCAUCCAGGCAUGAAGUCCAGGAGAAAUAUAGGAGAGAAAUGGACAGCACUGUCUGUAAAGGAUUGUGUAAGCAAGAAUGGCAAAAAGAUGGUCUGAAUAAAUCCAUUGCACUAAUGAUUUUCUAUACAUUAAUUUCCAAUACAAAAUGAUACUGAGUCAGUCUUUGGGGUUUCCCUGUAUAGCAGAGGAUCCUGAGCCUGAAAAAGGGAAGCAAAUUUUGUAAGGGAUUUGCAUAUCAUGGAGUGACUCUGGAUUGCAGAUUUUAAGCGUUACUAAAUUGGGGAAAAAAUUGUUGCUAUUGCUGUUACAUGCCAGGAUAUCUCACUAAUCCAUGCAAUCCACUAAUUUGCUGUAAUUUUAGUUUGUCUUUAUUUUAGAUGAAAUUAUGGCCUGGACAGUUUAUUUUUCUUAGUUUAUCCAUGUAAAUCAUAUAUAAAUAAGGUAUCAAACAGAAACCAAAACAUGACCUGUGUUUUUGGUAUCACUAUCUGCCAGUGAUAGAGCUCUGCACCCAGUUUACAAGUCAAACACAAAGGCAAUGAAAUGCCUGAAUGCUUGCAAAGCAAUCAGUUGGCAUUAAAUUCUCUUGUUUUAAUGCUCUGACUGGCCUAUUUUGCUUAUAUUUGAGACUGCCUAGCCAUUAUGCGAUUGCCUGCACUGGUCCUUUCCUUACAUCAAGCUAAUUACAAAUUAACUUAAGGCACUUAGCAGGGCUGAGAGGCUGGACUGGUCCUUUCUGAGUUUGGAAAUGCCUGUUACUUUACAGUGGCUGAUUCCUAAAGUGAGGGGCAAACACAGAGGGAACCAAACAGCCUGGAACCAAAGUGGUCACGCUGGCUUUUGAAAAAAGUGACUGUCUCAAGUUAACUGAGAGUCAGCUACCUGAAAAUAAAAACCUCUCAUAUAUCCAAAGGUUUUCACUGGGAUUUUCAAGAUCUCCUGAGCAAUUUAAAAUCCUUGAGAGGAAUGCACUAUAGAAUGAAAAAUGUAAGUAUUAUUAAAGAAUGUCUCUGAACUGAAAGCCAGCCAGUUUCAUAAAAAUGAGCUAAAAAAGCAAUAACAGGUAGUCUGUCUCCUGCUGGAUGCUGUAUGAACCGUAUGUUUUGUAUUUUGGAAGUCACUUUAAAACAAUGGUUUUUUUCUUCACUAUUGCUGAUGGGAAGAACAGUAGAAGAACCAUGUAUAAAUGAGAUUAAAGUAAUCUAAUUAAAAAUAAACAAUGUACUUUCAUCUUCAA